UAGAGUAGGAAAUAAGUAGUUAAGUGUUACUAAACGGGAAGUUGUUAGUAAACGAAAAAGCAACAAAAGCUUUGCUGACUUAUUUUCGCAUUCCGCUA
rnacentral:ncRNA from 1 species